rnacentral:rRNA from 1 species
GUAGGGUGCAAGCGUUGCCCGGAUUUAUUGGGCGUAAAGGGCGCGUAGGCGGCUCGGCACGUCCGUUGUGAAAUCGCCCGGCUCAACUGGGCGGGGUCAGCGGAUACGGUCGAGCUCGAGCAAGCUAGGGGGCAAUGGAAUUCCCGGUGUAGUGGUGGAAUGCGUAGAUAUCGGGAGGAACACCAGUGGCGAAGGCGGUUGCCUGGGGCUUUGCUGACGCUGAUGCGCGAAAGCGUGGGGAGCGAUCCGGAUUAGAUACCCGGGUAGUCCACGCCGUAAACGAUGCGGACUAGGUGUCGGGGGUAUCGACCCCCUCGGCGCCGCAGCUAACGCACUAAGUCCGCCGCCUGGGGACUACGGCCGCAAGGCUAAA